rnacentral:tRNA from 1 species
GGGGCUAUAGCUCAGUGGCAGAGCGCUUGCCUAGCAUGCAUGAGGCACAGGGUUCGAUCCUCAGCACCA